rnacentral:rRNA from 1 species
AUGGCUUGGUGGAAGUUAUGUAUUCCCAAAAGUGAAGGUGGAAUGGGAUUUCGGGAUCUGUACUCGUUUAAUUUAGCUAUGCUUGCGAAGCAGUGUUGGAGAAUUAUAACAGACCCGGAAUCCCUAAUGGCUCGGGUGUUGAAGGCUAAAUACUUCCCUAAUGGGAGUAUCUUAGAAGCUACCCUGAAAAAUGGUUCCUCCUUCACCUGGCAAAGCAUAAUGAAAGGAUUGGAAACGUUUAAAAGAGGAUAUAUCUGGAGAAUUGGGACGGGAGAGCAUGUUAACAUCUGGAAUAACCCAUGGAUCCCUACCAGUGCAGAUAGGAAAGUGAUUACCCCUCGUAACCGAACUCUGGUGACAAGAGUUUGUGACUUGAUCGAUCCAUUGACUGGAACGUGGGAUGAAGAGUUAUUAAGAAACAUUUUUUGGGCAGUGGAUGUCAGGAGGAUUUUGCAAAUUCCUUUAUACCCGCAGUCCUUUGAAGACUUCAUUGCUUGGCAGCCAAACCGAACAGGGAUCUUUACUGUCAAAACGGCCUAUCAUGUUCAGUGGAAACAUACUUUCAGGGUGCAUGCUAACAGGGUAGAGAGACCAAAUGGAUCGGCACCCUUGGACGUUUGGAAUACUCUAUGGAAACUUCAAGUGCCACGUAAAGUUUAGAUUUUUGGUUGGAGGAUACUGCGAGGGAUCAUCCCACUGAAAUCUAUCCUCAUGAACCGGCAUGUAGGAUCGGAUGGAGCCUGCCCGAUUUGUCACCAGGGCGCAGAAGAUCUGAAGCACCUGCUGUUUUUGUGCACAAAUGCAAAGGAGUUGUGGGGUCGUCUGGGUAUGUUGGAUGUUAUU